CUGGACUUUGGAAACCAUUGGGAACAGCAGUUUCUGCUAUUUCAAAGGAGAUGACAUGUGCCUGGUGCUCCAAAGAGUGGGAAUGAGCCACAGGAUAAUGUCUCAGAGACCUUACCCACCUGACUUGGUUAGUGAUUACAGCUUUUUCAAAGCUCAGCCAUGAUACUAGGGGAAGUAGCCUGAGAAGGUUUGUUAUUUCUGUCCUGAUUUGAGUUCCACUGCCAAUGUUUUGAGCAUGGAGCAAGCACUGCAUGUGAUUCAAAAACAUGCCAUAUGAUUUAAAAUUGUACCCAUCAACACUAGUAAUUGCUGUGGGAUCAAGAAGCCUGCAGUAGCAAUGAC
rnacentral:lncRNA from 13 species